rnacentral:rRNA from 1 species
UACGGAGGGGGCGAGCGUUAUUCGGAAUCAUUGGGCGUAAAGGGCGCGUAGGCGGCCCCGUAAGUCUUGGGUGAAAGCCCUCGGCUCAACCGAGGAAUUGCCUUGGAUACUGCGGGGCUCGAGGCUGGAAGAGGGUAGUGGAAUUCCCGGUGUAGCGGUGAAAUGCGUAGAUAUCAGGAGGAAUACCGGUGGCGAAAGCGACUCUCUGGACGGUAACUGACGCUGAGGCACGAAAGCGUGGGGAGCAAACAGG